rnacentral:rRNA from 1 species
GACGAACGCUGGCGGCGUGCUUAACACAUGCAAGUCGAACGGUAAGGCCCUUCGGGGUACACGAGUGGCGAACGGGUGAGUAACACGUGGGUGAUCUGCCCUGCACUUCGGGAUAAGCCUGGGAAACUGGGUCUAAUACCGGAUAGGACCACUGCCCGCAUGGGUGGUGGUGGAAAGCUUUUGCGGUGUGGGAUGGGCCCGCGGCCUAUCAGCUUGUUGGUGGGGUGAUGGCCUAACAAGGCGACGACGGGUAGCCGGCCUGAGAGGGUGACCGGCCACACUGGGACUGAGAUACGGCCCAGACUCCUACGGGAGGCAGCAGUGGGGAAUAUUGCACAAUGGGCGCAAGCCUGAUGCAGCGACGCCGCGUGAGGGAUGACGGCCUUCGGGUUGUAAACCUCUUUCAGCACCGACGAAGCGCAAGUGACGGUAGGUGCAGAAGAAGGACCGGCCAACUACGUGCCAGCCGCCGCGGUAA